CACCAAUCAGGCAUUUAUGGUAGAGUGGCCAGGUGGAAGCCACUCCUCAGUAAAAGGCACAUUAGAGCCUGCUUGGAGUUUGCCAAAAGGCAACUAAAGGACUCACAGACCAUGAGAAGCAAGAUUCUCUGGUCUGAUGAAACCAAGAUUGAACUAUUUUACCUGAAUUCCAAGCGUCAUGUCUGGAGGAAACCUGGCACCAUCCCGACGGUGAAGCUGAGAAAACAUGGUAGUUAUGUCCUGCCCAUGCUGUGGUGGGGCAGCCCUGUGAAGAUCAUCUGCCCUGUCCCCCCAAUCUCUGUCCCCUCAGUACUCUGCUCCCACUUUGGCAUGGCCAUCCAGAUGCAUGGAGGGGAGGAGGUCAUACACACACUACAGGUCAUAGAGAACGGCGAGUGGGUGCCGUUUGUGUCUGAAGAGUGUGCCUACCAAGUGGAGUCCCACUCAGGAGACCUCAUCUUUUAUGUUCCCUUUACAGCCCCAUGUGUGACCGUCGGAAAUGGAGUUCAUCGACUGGUCCUAUUGGACGGCCAGGACUUCAUCCUCUCCUGCCCCUCACACCACCCUCCUCCAUUUCCCUUCUUUCCCUCUCCUCCAUUUUCUCAACCCUUCUCUCCUGGUGACCCGCAGCAGCAGAUACCUGUCCCUGUGACUUUUGCUCCCUCCACCAGCCCUCCCCUUACCUCUCCUCCCAUCACCCCUUAUACUCAACCCCCAGCCCAGGAACAGAUGCCCCAACUUCCUGCGUUCCCCCACUACCGCCCUCAUGGCAUGUAUCACCAAAUUCCCCAUUUCCCUUACGGUGGAGCUGGUUAUCACCCUCCCCUCCACCCUGGUCACAAUCCAUACCCUGGCUCCCAUCAGCUUCUCCCAGGGAGAUACCCAGGCCAGCAGCCCUUCUUCCCCAUGGGGCCUGGGAAUCACCCCUACGGCUCUGGAGACCACCGUGACUCCUUUUUACCUCUCCCCGCCCCUACCCACGAUCCCAUGCUCAGGCUAUUAUAAUGGAAUCACCCCUGGUGUCCACCGUCCUGUUGUCUAUCCUACUCCUCUUACAGCUAUCCGACCACCGCCUCCCGCCGCUUAUACCAAACCUUCUCCUCCCGCCGCUUAUACCAAACCUUCUCCUCCGCCGCUUAUACCAAACCUUCUCCUCCCGCCGCUUAUACCAAACCUUCUCCUCCCGCCGCUUAUACCAAAC
rnacentral:lncRNA from 1 species